rnacentral:rRNA from 1 species
AGAGUUUGAUUAUGGCUCAGGAUUAACGCUGGCGGCGUGCCUAAUACAUGCAAGUCGAAUGGUAGCAAUACCAUGGCGAACGGGUGAGUAACACGUAGGUAACCUGUCUUUAAGCCGAGGAUAACCAUUGGAAACGAUGGAUAAUACUGGAUAGGACAUUUGAAGGCAUCUUUAGAUGUUUAAAGAUUUAUCACUUAGAGAGGGGCCUGCGGCGCAUUAGCUAGUUGGUGAGGUGAAGGCUUACCAAGGCGAUGAUGCGUAGCCGGACUGAGAGGUUGAACGGCCACAAUGGAACUGAGAACGGUCCAUACUCCUACGGGAGGCAGCAGUAGGGAAUUUUCGGCAAUGGGCGGAAGCCUGACCGAGCAACGCCGCGUGAACGAAGAAGUAUUUCGGUAUGUAAAGUUCUUUUAUUAGGGACGAAAAGACAGAUUGACGGUACCUAAUGAAUAAGCUCCGGCUAACUACGUGCCAGCCGCUGC